GCUAGCAUAGUAUAGUGGUUUGAUUGUCAGGCUAUGACUCUGGAGACCAGGGUUUGAAUCCCUGUCGUCCA